rnacentral:rRNA from 1 species
UGAAAUCUGGCCCUAGGCCCGAGUUGUAAUUUGCAGAGGAUGUUUCUGGCGAGGUGCCUUCCGAGUGCCCUGGAACGGGACGCCAUAGAGGGUGAGAGCCCCGUACGGUUGGUCGCUAAGCCUCUGUGAAACUCCUUCGACGAGUCGAGUAGUUUGGGAAUGCUGCUCUAAAUGGGAGGUAUACGUCUUCUAAAGCUAAAUACCGGCCAGAGACCGAUAGCGCACAAGUAGAGUGAUCGAAAGAUGAAAAGCACUUUGAAAAGAGGGUUAAAUAGUACGUGAAAUUGUUGAAAGGGAAGCGCUCAUGACCAGACUUGGGCCGGUUGAUCAUCCGCCGUUCUCGGCGGUGCACUCUGCCGGCUCAGGCCAGCAUCAGUUUGGUCCGGGGGAUAAAGGUGUAGGGAAUGUGGCUCCCCCCGGGAGUGUUAUAGCCCUGCGCGUAAUACCCUGGACUGGACUGAGGUUCGCGCAUCUGCAAGGAU